AACCACACUAUCAAUAAAUAGAUUCACCCGCGAGAUGACGUGACUGUUUCACUGUUUCAUCUAGGAUGAGGACAUGGCAUUCUAUUACCAGCCAUCGCACAAAAUUAAUAGGAUGCCACGUCCUCAUCCUUGAUGGAACAACCACGUUAUCUCAUGGGUGAAUCCAUUCAUCGAUAGUGUGGUU
rfam:Oryza nivara chromosome 8, whole genome shotgun sequence.